ACGGAAGGCAGCAGUGGGGAAUAUUGCACAAUGGGCGAAAGCCUGAUGCAGCAACGCCGCGUGAAUGAUGAAGGCCUUCGGGUCGUAAAGUUCUGUCCUCAAGGAAGAUAAUGACGGUACUUGAGGAGGAAGCUCCGGCUAACUACGUGCCAGCAGCCGCGGUAAUACGUAGGGGGCUAGCGUUAUCCGGAUUUACUGGGCGUAAAGGGUGCGUAGGCGGUUUUUUAAGUCAGAAGUGAAAGGCUACGGCUUAACCGUAGUAAGCUUUUGAAACUGGAGAACUUGAGUGCAGGAGAGGAGAGUGGAAUUCCUAGUGUAGCGGUGAAAUGCGUAGAUAUUAGGAGGAACACCAGUAGCGAAGGCGGCUCUCUGGACUGUAACUGACGCUGAGGCACGAAAGCGUGGGGAGCAAACAGGAUUAGAUACCCUGGUA
rnacentral:rRNA from 1 species